CCUACGGGAGGCAGCAGUGAGGAAUAUUGGUCAAUGGACGCAAGUCUGAACCAGCCAUGCCGCGUGCAGGAAGACGGCUCUAUGAGUUGUAAACUGCUUUUGUACGAGGGUAAACGCAGAUACGCGUAUCUGUCUGCAAGUAUCGUACGAAUAAGGAUCGGCUAACUCCGUGCCAGCAGCCGCGGUAAUACGGAGGAUUCAAGCGUUAUCCGGAUUUAUUGGGUUUAAAGGGUGCGUAGGCGGUCGGAUAAGUUAGAGGUGAAAUCCCGAGGCUCAACUUCGGAAUUGCCUCUGAUACUGUUCGGCUAGAGAGUAGUGGCGGUAGGCGGAAUGUAUGGUGUAGCGGUGAAAUGCUUAGAGAUCAUACAGAACACCGAUUGCGAAGGCAGCUUACCAAGCUACUUCUGACGUUGAGGCACGAAAGCGUGGGGAGCAAACAGGAUUAGAUACCCCUGUAGUC
rnacentral:rRNA from 1 species